rnacentral:rRNA from 1 species
UACGGAGGGAGCUAGCGUUAUUCGGAAUUACUGGGCGUAAAGCGCACGUAGGCGGCUUUGUAAGUAAGAGGUGAAAGCCUGGAGCUCAACUCCAGAAUUGCCUUUUAGACUGCAUCGCUUGAAUCAUGGAGAGGUGAGUGGAAUUCCGAGUGUAGAGGUGAAAUGCGUAGAGAUCCGGAGGAACACCAAAGGCGAAGGCAGUGUCCUGGGGAGUACCUGACGCUCAGGUGCGAAAGCCAGGGGAGCGAACGGG